rnacentral:rRNA from 1 species
UACGGGGGGGGCAAGCGUUGUUCGGAUUUACUGGGCGUAAAGCGCACGUAGGCGGAUUGUUAAGUGAGGGGUGAAAUCCCAGGGCUCAACCCUGGAACUGCCUUUCAUACUGGCAAUCUCGAGUCCGGAAGAGGUGAGUGGAACUCCUAGUGUAGAGGUGGAAUUCGUAGAUAUUAGGAAGAACACCAGUGGCGAAGGCGGCUCACUGGUCCGGUACUGACGCUGAGGUGCGAAAGCGUGGGGAGCAAACAGG